UUCAGCUAAACAUGAUCAAAUUUCGUUCUUUUACUACCAUAUAUUCUUUUUUUUUUCUGACUACCAUAUAUUCGUGGUUUCGGGUUUGUGUAAUAAAAGUAAUAAGUAUACUUCUUCUUUUUUGAACUUUUAUAUUGUUUAAUUUUGCUUCGAAAAAUUGGUAAGAUAGCAUUUUAAUAUAUUCGUAAUAACUUUUCGUCAUAUAAGUACAUAGACCAACUCUUAUAAAACACCAAAACACCAAAUAACUUGUGUUAUAAGCCAUGGGUAAUAAGUAUACUUUAAAAUGAUUAUCAGAGACAUGCUAAGACUGUUACAACUGCUACUGCUGUUUCACUAAUAUUUAUUAUUGUAAUGUAGGUCUAUCUAUCUGUUUAGAAAUAUCAGCAAACGAC
rnacentral:lncRNA from 1 species